rnacentral:lncRNA from 1 species
GUGAAUAUAUUCUACAUAUAUAUCCAGAUACAUAUAUAUAUAUAUACAGCCUCGCAAAUCAUUAUUGACUUCCGGGAAAGAAGUGGUUGGCUGGAAACUGGGAAAGGAUUCUGCAAAAUUCAAGUCAAGGCUCUGUCUUCUUUCUUUUCCUCAAACUGGGGAGGAGUGGGGCAGGAUGCUGAACGGGCUACAUUAAAAAAAAAAAAAAAAAAACCUCUUUCUCUCUCUAUUUAUAAAUGAGAACUGUUGGAUGACACCUUUGACAUAUCAGCCAAUAUCAGUCAAGCUGAAGACUCCAGACACUCUGUGUGACUGUAACAUUUCUUCAAGGAAAGUAUAGCGUCUAUGGAGUUCAGAGGGCACGUGUUUGGGGAAAAAAUAUACAUGACAUAAAGAAGACGACGACGAAGAAAAAUGAGAAAACAAAAACACAAAAAAGGCAACUUUAAAACAAAGUAACGUGAGACCAGACGGGGAGGCUGAAGGGCUGGGCACUGGGAGGAGACGCUGCUGCUCACCGAACCCUGGGCUUUUCCAGCCUGUGGGCGCCUGAGGCAGGCGGGGCAAGCGUGCUGUGGGGCCUGGUCCCGGGUGAGGCCAGGAGGCCGCCACUGAGCAUCUCUGUCAUUCCUUUAGCUAUUUAGGGACCAAAGGACCAAACUUUUUAUUGCAGAUGUGUAGCUCUAUGUCAAAUAGAGGGGGAAUGGAGAACCACCUCCUUCCUGCCUCCUGGCUGUUCUUGUAACAGCCUAGAGCGAUUCUAUGAAAAAUGUAAUAAAAAAAAACUUAAAAAAAAACAAAAAAAGAAAAAAAAGAAAAAAAAGAAAAAAUAAUAAUGCUUCAAUGCUUUUGAAACAGCAAGAUACUAGUUCUUUGAUACUUUGAGAGGCGCUUUGAUUACCCUCAUUGAAGUCUAUGACACUUUCCUAUGGUUUUCUGUAUUAUAUGUCUGGAUGGAGCUGUUAAGAUGAACACAUUGCUGGAUGUUUGGGGAAAGCAACAAAAGUAUUAAAACUCAUUAACUGUGAAGUGUGAGAACACGGGAGGGAAACAAACUUCCAAGGCAAGGUAAUUGUGAAAAGUCUGUAAAUGCUUCUCUUCCCCCUCUUAAAAUCAUAAUAGUUGUACAGAAUUUUAAAAAGGAAAAGUUUAAAAUACCUAUAUAAUAGAAGAAAAAUUAGAGGAAAGCAAAAAAUAAAAAAAAAUAAUAAAAAAGGAAAAAAAAACCUAUAGAAGUUAGCGUUACUGCUAAAAUCCCAGAUGUUGUAGGACUGUACUUUUGUAGAGUUUAGACUGAGCAUCAAUCCCUUCUCCCCUCGAGUGCUGUCGGACGCCGUCGUCCCGAGGGCCAGGCCGGCCUCUCCCAGACCUGCAGGCUGCGCGCCACGGGCCAGGAAGGGCCCCUCGCCGGCCGCC